GACGAACGCUGGCGGCGUGCUUAACACAUGCAAGUCGAACGAUGAAGCCUAGCUUGCUAGGUGGAUUAGUGGCGGACGGGUGAGUAAUACGUGAGUAACCUACCUUUAACUCUGGGAUAAGCCCGGGAAACUGGGUCUAAUACCGGAUACGACCAAUCUCCGCAUGGGGUGUUGGUGGAAAGCGUUAUGUAGUGGUUAUAGAUGGGCUCACGGCCUAUCAGCUUGUUGGUGAGGUAACGGCUCACCAAGGCGACGACGGGUAGCCGGCCUGAGAGGGUGACCGGCCACACUGGGACUGAGACACGGCCCAGACUCCUACGGGAGGCAGCAGUGGGGAAUAUUGCACAAUGGGCGCAAGCCUGAUGCAGCGACGCCGCGUGAGGGAUGACGGCCUUCGGGUUGUAAACCUCUGUUAGCAGGGAAGAAGAGAGAUUGACGGUACCUGCAGAGAAAGCGCCGGCUAACUACGUG
rnacentral:rRNA from 1 species